CUUUUCUCGGAGGUGGAGCACUUUCAGCUAGGUUCAGACGGAACAAGAAAGCAAGGAAGUUUUUACUGACAGAGAGAGUUCUCAGUGAUUUGCAAGAGUGGAAGCGUGAAUAUUUUAAACUUUGUCUUUCAGAUCAAGCUCAAGAAUAUUCAAUUCAGGGCCAGGGAUAUAGCUCAGCGGCACCGCACCUGUCUGGCAAGAGCAAGGUCCCAAGUUCAACCCCAGUACCCAGGUCCUCACUCUAAGCAUCUGA
rnacentral:lncRNA from 1 species